rnacentral:rRNA from 1 species
UACAGAGGUCCCAAGCGUUGUUCGGAUUCACUGGGCGUAAAGGGUGCGUAGGCGGUCGGGUAAGUCUGGCGUGAAAUCUCCAAGCCUAACUUGGAAACUGCGUUGGAUACUAUCCGGCUCGAGGAAUGGAGGGGAGACUGGAAUACUUGGUGUAGCAGUGAAAUGCGUAGAUAUCAAGUGGAACACCAGUGGCGAAGGCAAGUCUCUGGACAUUUCCUGACGCUGAGGCACGAAAGCCAGGGGAGCAAACGGG